AAUCUCAACAUUGUUAGAAUUGGAUUUUGGAUUCAUAAAACAAGUUGGAUGUGAAUAAGUUAAUAUACCUAGAAGGCUCAUUAAUAUGCUGUGGUCAAAUUAGUAUUGAGUCUUGGUACACUUUGUUUUAUUGGACUUAUUCCAUAGUCUGAUGUGAGGUAAAAUGUAAGGUUUUAAACCUGAUCUAUGAUGGAUGGAUAUUAACCGUAUAUAAUAUAAGGUUAGGUCUCCUAUCCACUCCUAACAUUAGACAAAACCCUAGAUCUCAUCCUUUUAGAGAUUAUGCUGACUUGCCCCAUCGAAAGCCUAUGAAGAGGAAGAUUUGUCUGGGCCGUGUGUCGAGUGUGCACGUGCGUGUCUAUUGCUAUUCAUAAUCUAUCCAGGUUUGCUCAAGGUAAGUGAUGCUCUUUGGAGAGAAGCCACUGCAACUUUGCUCACUGUUAAGUGUACUUUACAGCUGAAAUAUCCCGACAUUGUUUUGGAUUAUGAAGCUAUUAACGUUUUGAAUCCCCUCAAAAACUCUAGAGCAUCUCAUACUCAAUGUAGCCAAUUUUGCAAAAUAAUGUGUUUUUGGAACACUUCUUUGUAGCUCCAAAUAAUGUAAAUUUUGUUUGUGCUCCUCCAAAUCUAGUCCAAGGAGCUUUUCCUUUUGUAAUAAUUUUGGGAAUAUUAGCAUCUCAGAUCUUCCUGCCCAGGUGCUGAGAUCUGAAGGAAAGGUUAAGGGCCCAGGUCCUGUUUUGUUUCUUGUCAAUAAAA